CGGACGGGUGAGUAACGCGUAAAGAACUUGCCCUUUAGACUGGGAUAACAGAGGGAAACUUCUGAUAAUACUGGAUAAGUUAGUAUAUCGCAUGAUAUGCAAAUGAAAGCUACGGCACUAAAGGAGAGCUUUGCGUCCUAUUAGCUAGUUGGUAAGGUAAGAGCUUACCAAGGCGAUGAUAGGUAGCCGGCCUGAGAGGGUGGACGGCCACAAGGGGACUGAGAUACGGCCCUCACUCCUACGGGAGGCAGCAGAC
rnacentral:rRNA from 1 species